ensembl:lncRNA
UGAUUAUGAUCCAUAAUCUUCCAAUUUAGGAGUAAACGUUCAUGAGAGAUUAUCUGCAGACAAAACUAUGAUUAUUCCCCCGGGAGACCCUGGCGCCGACGUCUUGGCUCAUUGAAGGGCAUGAUGACUUCGGCUGGCCAUCGGCACGGAGAUCGAUCAGCACAGAAGAGAUUGGGAAGGAUAUUUCUUCUUCUUCUUUUUGUUGUUGUUGUUGUUUACUGCUAUCACCUUGACUAAUGGAAACCCCGUGAAUGAGAGACCUCCAAGAAGUAGAAGUGUGGUUAUAUAGUAUUAGCUGUGCCCGGCCACGUGUUGCUGUGGUGUAUGGGAAUCCUUCGUUGGCAGGUGGAAUAGCAGUAAAUAGCCUUGUAGCCACAAAGUCUGGCCAUUUUCUUCUUAUGGGAACCUUUGUUUGGUGAGCCGGAAUGCAACAGAAUAGGAUUGCUGCUUUGAAGCCUGGGUACUUGCGUUCUGGCGAAUGGUUUUUUGGGCUGCUAGAAUUGCAACAAAUAGCCAUGCUGCUUCAAAGCCUGGCUGCUUGCUACCUAGGGGAAUCUUUGAUUGGUCAGCUUCAAUAGUAGAGUAGUAUCGCUGCUUCAAAGCCUGGCAGCCUUCUACCAAGGUUAAUCCUUUGUUGCUCUUGUUGAAUUGCAUUGAAUAGCCUUGCAGCUUCAAUGCCUGGCUGUGUUAUACCUAGGGAAAUCCUUGUUUGGCGAGCUGGAGUAGCACCCUCAAUCAAAGAGCCGCUUUGAAGCCUGGCUAUUUCCUUUGUAGGGGAAUCCUUGUUUGGCCAGCUUGAAUUGUACUGAAUUGCAGCUUAAAAACCUAGCUGCUUUCUACAUACGGGCAUGGUGUUUUCUUUCCUUUUUGUUUUGAUGGUCACUCCUUGGAAAGUUAUUAGUUUUGUGGCCAAAUUUGGUGUGAUUUGGCCCAGUGGUUUUGUUGUUAGUACAGUAGAGUCUCACUUAUCCAACAUAAACGGGCCGGCAGAACAUUGGAUAAGCGAAUAUGUUGGAUAAUGAGGAAUUAAGGAUAACCCUAUUAAACAUCAAAUUAAGUUAUGAUUUUACAAAUUAAGCACCAAAACAUCAUGUUAGACAACAAAUUUGUCAGAAAAAGUAGUUCAGUACACAGUAAUGCUAUAUAGUAAUUACUGUAUUUAUGAAUUUAGCACCAAAAUAUCACGAUAUAUUGAAAGCAUUGACUACAAAAAUGCGUUGGAUAAUCCAGAACGUUGGAUAAGCGAGUGUUGGAUAAGUGAGACUCUACUGUAAAUACUACAUAGCAUUACUGCGCAUGGAACUACUUUUUCUGUCAAAUUUGUUGUAUAAUAUGAUGUUUUGGUGCUUAAUUUGUAUAACUAUUACCUAAUUUGAUGUUUAAUUGGCUUUUCCUGAAUCCCUUCUUAUUAUCCAACAUAUUCACUUAUCCUGCCAGCCUGUUUACGUUGGAUAAGUGAGACUCUACUGUAUAUUUCUAAUCUUAUAUUAUCUGCUCAGAACUGGAUUAUAUGAGGCUGCUUCUUCACAGCUGUAUAAAAUGCACACUGAAGUGGAUUAUAUGGUAGUGUGGAGUCAAGAUAAUCCAGUGCAAAGCAGAUAAUAUAAGAUUAUAAAUGGGUUAUAUAGCUGUGUGGAAGGGCCUUGAGUCUACACUGCCAUAUAAUCCAGUGCAAAUUAGAUAAUCUGUGGAAGAAGUCUAAGUGAGGCCUAAAUCUGCCUGUCCCCUAACUGAAUCCUGGCUGUCCCUUGGUUGCUAGGCAACCAAGUGGACAGAGAUUAGCCCUCUAAACUGGCAGCAAUUGGAUAAAAAAAAUUAUUGCUCUCCCUCUAAUUAGGACUUUAUUUUUCUUUUCUUUUUGUUGUAUCAACCUUGAGGCGUGGAUGAUGGGUUGUGUUGUCAAAUUUUGAGGUUGGGGGGCCUGUACUUUUGUUGUUUUGUGAAUUGCCGUGAUGCCAUCACUCUUUUAUAUAUAUAGAUUGUAUGUACAUAUAAUAUUGAUAAUAAUAUUAUAAUAGAAUACAACAUUAUACUACUAAUAAUACAAGAUAAUAAU